rnacentral:rRNA from 1 species
CAGCUUGUUGGUGGGGUAACGGCCCACCAAGGCUCCGAUCCGUAGCUGGUCUGAGAGGACGAUCAGCCACACUGGGACUGAGACACGGCCCAGACUCCUACGGGAGGCAGCAGUGGGGAAUCUUGCGCAAUGGGCGAAAGCCUGACGCAGCGACGCCGCGUGAGGGAAGAAGGCCUUCGGGUUGUAAACCUCUUUCAGGAGGGACGAAGCUACUCGGGUUAAUAGCCCAGAGGGUGACGGUACCUCCAGAAGAAGCCCCGGCUAACUACGUGCCAGCAGCCGCGGUAAUACGUAGGGGGCAAGCGUUGUUCGGAUUUACUGGGCGUAAAGCGCGUGUAGGCGGCCGAGCAGGUCUGUUGUGAAAACUGAAGGCUCAACCUUCAGACGUCGACAGAAACCGCGCGGCUAGAGUCCGGAAGAGGAGAGUGGAAUUCCUGGUGUAGCGGUGAAAUGCGCAGAUAUCAGAAGAACACCAAUGGCGAAGGCAGCUCUCUGGGACGGUACUGACGCUGAGACGCCAAAGC